GCCAGCGUAGCUCAGUGGUAGAGCAAUGGUAUCGUAAACCAUAGGUCGUGAGUUCAAAUCUCACCGCUGGCUCCA
rnacentral:tRNA from 3 species